GCUUGACAAAUGCAAGAACAAGGAAUUUAAACUUCAUCAACUCUUGACCCAUCAUGUUAAAUUGGAAGAGAUCGACAAGGCAAUUCAGCUGUUGAAGCAACCUGAUUGUGUCAAGGUCCUGAUCACGAUUUGAUAGGUUUUAUCCUAUGCUCUCCUUGUGUUAAAUUCGAGAUCAAAAUCUUAAGAUCUGCUCUUGAGAUCCCUUCUAUUUAUGUUCACUCCUAAUCUCAUCACCAAACCUCUAAUUUGUAAUAAAGAAAGAACGGAGUUUUUGCAGAUUUAGCUUAAGUUUGAACAUUGCACUUUUAAGUACAAAAUGUAAACAUUAAAAGGAACCUCAAACCAAUAUAAAAAACCAUGAACACAUCUGAGAUUUCUACACAUCUGAUUUUCAGGCAUUAUGCGAUUUGCAGUAAAUUGGAAAUUGUUAUGCAAAGUACAGUAGGUAUCUUUAGAACUUUGGAAACAAAUCCUUACAUGGUAGCUUCUACUUCAGGGUCAAUUUCCACUGGCACUUUAGGAGCACUAUUGCCACCUCUCAAACGUGAAGAUACAUUGUCAAUAGCAUUAUUAAGUUGGCUGAUUUU
rnacentral:lncRNA from 1 species